UCAGGAAGGAGGCUAACUGACACAGCAGCGUAGGUCUUCUCAGCCACCUGAACUUGGGGAACCUCUUACCAGGAGUUACUAUCUGAUUAGCAUCAUUCCCUGUGUAAUGGUGAGAGAAUCAAGGUCCCUGCAUGCUAAAUUGUGACAAAGAGUUGGUAUCAUUUGAGGUAUAGAAGAUAAAAAUAAUCACCAAAGCAGCAAUAGCAGAAUGCCAGACAUCAGCGAUUUAAUUGGCUUGUUCAAGUGCAAAACAAUAAUAACAAAAACUACAACUGAAAGAGCAGUUACGUCUGAUGAAGCCACUUGGAUUUAGGUCUAAUUAUGGUUCUGGAAGUAAAGAAAGGUAGUCCAUGGGUCUAAAAGAGAGUCUGCAUUUCUUGCAAGGUGAGUACCUGAAUUAAAAUCACUAUGGUGUGGUCACGUAGGAAAAAAAAUAGCGAUGCUUCUGCUGGCAAGGGAGGCCCAGCAGGUUUGGGGUGUUGAUACUUAAAUUCAUUGAAAUCUGCCCAGAUUUCUCCUCAUGAUUUUCAAGUUUCCAUUCCUUCUUGGUAAAUGCUGUAACUUUAAUAUAAGAGACCUGAUAAGUCUACACAUUCACUUUGAAUUUCAAAUUACCCACUCACAGGAUUAUAUUUUUUAUUGGGUUUCAGAAAUAUUGGC